rnacentral:rRNA from 1 species
UACGUAGGUGACCAGCGUUGUCCGGAUUUACUGGGCGUAAAGAGCGCGCAGGCGGUCGUUCAAGUCGAGUGUGAAAGCCCCCGGCUCAACUGGGGAGGGUCAUUCGAUACUGAUCGACUCGAAGGCAGGAGAGGGUAGUGGAAUUCCCGGUGUAGUGGUGAAAUGCGUAGAUAUCAGGAGGAACACCGGUGGCGAAGGCGGUUCUCUGGGCAUUACCUGACGCUGAGGAGCGAAAGCGUGGGGAGCGAACAGG